UACGGAGGGUGCAAGCGUUAAUCGGAAUUACUGGGCGUAAAGCGCACGCAGGUGGCUGAGUCAGUCGAUUGUGAAAGCCCUGGGCUUAACCUGGGAAUUGCAGUCGAUACUACUCGGCUCGAGUAUGGGAGAGGGCAGUGGAAUUCCCGGUGUAGCGGUGAAAUGCGUAGAUAUCAGGAGGAAUACCGAUGGCGAAGGCAGGUCUCUGGGCUGACACUGACGCUCAUGCACGAAAGCGUGGGGAGCAAACAGG
rnacentral:rRNA from 1 species